AUUGAACGCUGGCGGCAGGCCUAACACAUGCCAGUCGAGCGGAUGAAGGGAGCUUGCUCCUGGAUUCAGCGGCGGACGGGUGAGUAAUGCCUAGGAAUCUGCCUGGUAGUGGGGGAUAACGUCCGGAAACGGGCGCUAAUACCGCAUACGUCCUGAGGGAGAAAGUGGGGGAUCUUCGGACCUCACGCUAUCAGAUGAGCCUAGGUCGGAUUAGCUAGUUGGUGGGGUAAAGGCCUACCAAGGCGACGAUCCGUAACUGGUCUAAGAGGAUGAUCAGUCACACUGGAACUGAGACACGGUCCAGACUCCUACGGGAGGCAGCAGUGGGGAAUAUUGGACAAUGGGCGAAAGCCUGAUCCAGCCAUGCCGCGUGUGUGAAGAAGGUCUUCGGAUUGUAAAGCACUUUAAGUUGGGAGGAGGGGCAGUAAGUUAAUACCUUGCUGUUUUGACGUUACCAACAGAAUAAGCACCGGCUAACUUCGUG
rnacentral:rRNA from 1 species